CACACACAGACACUGAAAAAACACACACAGAGACACACACAUGCUACAGAAUUUUAUCUCUGACUUAUCUUCCAUGGACUAACCUCAUUUUAAGCACAGGCACACACACAAAGAUUGUGUUUUUUAUUAAAAGACUAGAAGACCCAAGCCUGGUACAGCUACAGUCCUUUCAGAUGAAAAAAAGACUAAUUACCAAAUUAGCGUAGAAAAAUGCAGUCAUGAUUAAAACUCCAGACAUUCCAAACUUUAGGCUUAUGGCCUUACUGUUGAAUGCAAAUGUCGGCCUAUAUGCUGCUAUAAUAAGCCUAAUUCAUGCACAAACUAUUCUGUUUGAAAUUAUCCUUUUUGUUUGUGCAAGGACACAGAAACUGCAAGAACUGUCAGAGCUAUUAACACAUCGUUUUGGAGGGACCUUGAUAGUCCAACAAUAGACUUGCAAAUAACCUAGUUGGUAAAAAAAAAUAUAUAUAUAAACGUUAUAUUUUUUUUGUACAAAUAGGCCACUCCUUUCCUCAACAGCUAUCCUUCCAAGCUACUACUACUACUACUCAACUGUCAUUCAACCAAUCGAUAGAAAAAGAGCAGACUCUGAGCUAUCCAUCCGUACCGGCACCCAAAACAAGUAGAGCUUUCAAUUUCAAUUCACUUGAAGCAGUGACCCUCUCAAUACCGGGAAGCAGGAUCGAACAUGAUGCCUACAUCUACAAAAUGGAACAAAAGCCUACAAAAAACAAUUCAUACUGCAUGUGCAUCAAAUAAUUCUCACAAGUUCCGAGGUCCCAUGGUCUUCACUGACUGGGGGACCAAUAUAUCCAACUACGACCCGGAUAGAAUGGUGACAGGUCAACAGGUGUGGAACAUGACAGUAAAUGGGAGUUGAAUAAUCUGAAGAAGAGGAAUCUGGAGACCGAGGAAAGCGUUUUGGAGUCAUCAGUUGUCCGAGACUGUCAGAAACAACCCUGUACACAACGUAAAAAAGUGUGUAGACCUACAGAAUCACCGGCAAAAGAAGAAGCAGGCGCCGCCGGUACUGGCUGAAACCAUCCCUGAGAGCCAUGGCAUGGCAGCAGGUAAAGACGUGGCUGAACCUAGAACUCUUCCCGACCCUGUCAUCCUUGAGGCGGGAGUCACUGAUGGGGGAGACCCGACGCCGUCUGAACCGGCAACCCUCUCCGAUUCCGACCUACCUGCAACCCUCUCCAACCUGGUCAAUCCUACCUGAGAUCUAUCAUAGCACCACGCGUGAACAAGGCCAUGAACACCAUUUCUUCCAGCACGACAGUGGACCAGGACAGAUUUCUUAUCUUCACAACAAACCCAACUUAGAAUUCGGUCGGGCAUGCAAGCAUUUGUUUGCAGAUGGAUCAUUCAAGAAGAUCCCAUCUUUGUGCCAGGAGGUACACACCAUUCAAAGGAUGCACAGAAAGGAUGCACCCCACCUGCAUGAUGGAGUCAGUGGUUUAUGCAGCAGCCUAUAUUGUUAUGACGGAUAAGUCUGAGCAAACUUGUUGUUGCAACAAAUACUUGUGCGUUCCAAGUGCUGAAGAGCCAGCGACCCACCACAUCAAGAUGUUCUACACACUCGCAUUUGUUCUGCCGGCUGACGUGGUGAAGUGUUUCAAGGAGCUGAAGGAAACUGGGUCCGGAGCUGUCCACCUUUCUGGAGAACUUUGAGAAGACGUGGAUUGGCACUGGAGAGAAAGCCCCGGAAUAUAACACGGAAAUGUGUAACUACCACGAUGUUGUCCUACAAGACAUCUGGAAGACCAACAGCGUAGUGAAGACCUGGUAUCGGUCACUUGGGUUCUUUUUUGAGAAGACCAGACAACCCACGAUCUGGAACUUCAUUGACACCUUGCGACUCCUUGGGACUACUACUCAUUACCAAAUUGUGGCCUAAAUGUUCUUGCCCCUUCGUCUAAUUGUGUUUUUAAUGCAGGCCCUUCUUUUUUGUUAUUGACUAUUUUCGAUGCAUUACUUUUUUGUUAAACCAGGCUUUUUGUAAAUAAACAUUUAAUUGUAAAUCAUCGGCUUGUUUCAUUCGUUUUUGAGGGAUGCACAAAACGCAUUUGGAGACUGUUGUGCUUUUCCAUUCAGGAACAUUUGGUACUCCAGUCCUGUCCCAUUGGUUCCCACAUUACUCUGAGACCAGACAUGAAGUCUCUCUGUCACAUCAAGCCUAUGCUUGGCAGCUUUGGCUCAGCUAACGGAUUCUCUAAAUAUUUUUCCCGCUAUCCAAUCAAACGGUCUGUGUUGAAAUAAUUCCUAUACUUUACAGAAAAAAAGAAAAUAAAACUUUUAAAAUGUGAUUAGCUAAUUGAAUUCACACAGAACUGUAGAAAUGCUAUGCCCAUAUAAAGUUUGUUUUAAAAGAGAGAGCAGGGUAAGAAAACUUGAAGGGAGAAAAAGCUACAAUGCUGUCAAAUGAGAGCAUUAUAUUCCCAAUACUAACAGUGGCAAUUAUUUCCAAAACGUGUGUG